rnacentral:rRNA from 1 species
AUUGAACGCUGGCGGCAGGCCUAACACAUGCAAGUCGAACGGUAACAGGAAGCAGCUUGCUGCUUUGCUGACGAGUGGCGGACGGGUGAGUAAUGUCUGGGAAACUGCCUGAUGGAGGGGGAUAACUACUGGAAACGGUAGCUAAUACCGCAUAACGUCGCAAGACCAAAGAGGGGGACCUUCGGGCCUCUUGCCAUCGGAUGUGCCCAGAUGGGAUUAGCUAGUAGGUGGGGUAACGGCUCACCUAGGCGACGAUCCCUAGCUGGUCUGAGAGGAUGACCAGCCACACUGGAACUGAGACACGGUCCAGACUCCUACGGGAGGCAGCAGUGGGGAAUAUUGCACAAUGGGCGCAAGCCUGAUGCAGCCAUGCCGCGUGUAUGAAGAAGGCCUUCGGGUUGUAAAGUACUUUCAGCGGGGAGGAAAGGAGUAAAGUUAAUACCUUUGCUCAUUGACGUUACCCGCAGAAGAAGCACCGGCUAACUCCGUG